UACCCAGUGGGGAGGGGGGCCUUCAUGGGCCUGAAAUAAAAAUCUAUUUCUUAUUUAGCUUUUUUUCUCUAAGUUAUAACUGCAAUAAGAUAACUGAAAUUGUCUGAAUAAAUGAACAAACAUUCAGAAUUCCUUUCUGGAAAAAAUGUAGAGUCUGUCUCAAAGGCCCCUCUCCCCCCUUCUGAUUGAGUAGAAUGGUUUAGUCCGCCCCGCACCUCUCGAUCCUCUUGACUGAAUUGAUCUAUCAGCAGUCAUUCGAGUCAGGAGUGAGAGAUGUGGCCACCUGCAGAUUAAACCAGAUUAAGCCAAGAAUAUCGUUUUGUUCAAUUUGUAUUUUAUGCAUAAAUUCAUCAUAUGAAUCCCCUUCACAGAUACAAUUUUAUAUGACCCUAUUUUGUGAAAAUAUUACGCUGUAAAAAAGAGUCCACUUUGGAGCGAUAUUUAGCUACAGUAACACAUUUGAUAUCAACAGAUUAUUUGUAAACUGUCAAUUCAUAUGAUACCAAUGUUGUCGCACUAGCAGCAAAACUGAGUCCGCUACUUUUGCCCAAAAAACAAUAUUUUGAACUCAGAACAGAGAAGAACUAGCCUAUUAUAGCCUCAUUUUAAAGUGAUGGUAGAAUCUAAUUCAGAUUUAUUGUAUGUUUACAUUUUAUCAUUAAUGCCAGUAGAAUUUUUAAUUCAGUAAGCUAACCAAUAAGAUCACUUUAGACAAUAAAAGCCUUUAGAACAUUAACUAUAACAAGUUCAUAAUUACAAUAAUGCUGCUGGAAAUGUUUCAAAUGUCUGAAAGGUGCAAAUAUUACAAAGUUUAAAUUAUUUUUAAGCUAUGAGGAAAUAUUACAGUGAUGAUUUAUCUUCCAUUUUCAGGGUGUAAAACAAAGCCUAGUUGUUCAAAGUUUUUAUGGGUCAUUUGUGUGAUGGUCAUAGACAUUUUCUGGGUUAGUUUGGACCGUGGUAGGGACCCAAUGUGAUAUUUUUUCACGGGGCCCCUGGGUUAGAGUUUUAAU